rnacentral:rRNA from 1 species
UACGUAGGGUGCGAGCGUUAAUCGGAAUUACUGGGCGUAAAGCGUGCGUAGGCGGUUCGCUGUGUCCGAUGUGAAAGCCCCCGGGCUUAACCUGGGAAUGGCAUUGGAAACUGGCGGGCUUGAGUGCGGCAGAGGGGGGGUGGAAUUCCGCGUGUAGCAGUGAAAUGCGUAGAGAUGCGGAGGAACACCGAUGGCGAAGGCAAUCCCCCUGGGCCUGCACUGACGCUCAUGCACGAAAGCGUGGGGAGCAAACAGG